rnacentral:rRNA from 1 species
AGCGAACGCUGGCGGCAGGCCUAACACAUGCAAGUCGAACGAACCUUUCGGGGUUAGUGGCGGACGGGUGAGUAACACGUGGGAACGUGCCUUUAGGUUCGGAAUAACUCAGGGAAACUUGUGCUAAUACCGAAUGUGCCCUUCGGGGGAAAGAUUUAUCGCCUUUAGAGCGGCCCGCGUCUGAUUAGCUAGUUGGUUGAGGUAAUGGCUCACCAAGGCGACGAUCAGUAGCUGGUCUGAGAGGAUGAUCAGCCACAUUGGGACUGAGACACGGCCCAAACUCCUACGGGAGGCAGCAGUGGGGAAUCUUGCGCAAUGGGCGAAAGCCUGACGCAGCCAUGCCGCGUGAAUGAUGAAGGUCUUAGGAUUGUAAAAUUCUUUCACCGGGGACGAAAAUGACGGUACCCGGAGAAGAAGCCCCGGCUAACUUCGUG